rnacentral:lncRNA from 1 species
ACGAACAAGAAAGAAAGGGUUACCAGAGGCCACACUAGCACCCUCCUGAAUGAGCCCAGAGGCCACACUAACACCUUCCUGAAUGAGCCCAGAGGCCACACUAACACCUUCCUGAAUGAGUCCAGAGGCCACACUAACACCCUCCUGAAUGAGCCCAGAGGCCACACUAACACCUUCCUGAAUGAGUCCAGAGGCCACGCUAACACCCUCCUGAAUGAGUCCAGAGGCCACACUAGCACCCUCCUGAAUGAGUCCAGAGGCCACACUAACACCCUCCUGAAUGAGCCCAGAGGCCACACUAACACCUUCCUGAAUGAGUCCAGAGGCCACGCUAACACCCUCCUGAAUGAGCCCAGAGGCCACACUAGCACCCUCCUGAAUGAGCCCAGAGGCCACACUAGCACCCUCCUGAAUGAGCCCAGAGGCCACACUAGCACCCUCCUGAAUGAGCCCAGAGGCCACACUAACACCCUCCUGAAUGAGCCCAGAGGCCACACUAGCACCCUCCUGAAUGAGUCCAGAGGCCACACUAACACCUUCCUGAAUGAGCCCAGAGGCCACACUAGCACCCUCCUGAAUGAGUCCAGAGGCCACACUAACACCCUCCUGAAUGAGCCCAGAGGCCACACUAACACCCUCCUGAAUGAGUCCAGAGGCCACACUAACACCCUCCUGAAUGAGCCCAGAGGCCACACUAGCACCCUCCUGAAUGAGUCCAGAGGCCACACUAGCACCCUCCUGAAUGAGUCCAGAGGCCACACUAACACCUUCCUGAAUGAGUCCAGAGGCCACGCUAACACCCUCCUGAAUGAGUCCAGAGGCCACACUAACACCUUCCUGAAUGAGUCCAGAGGCCACACUAACACCUUCCUGAAUGAGUCCAGAGGCCACGCUAACACCCUCCUGAAUGAGUCCAGAGGCCACACUAACACCUUCCUGAAUGAGUCCAGAGGCCACACUAGCACCCUCCUGAAUGAGUCCAGAGGCCACACUAGCACCCUCCUGAAUGAGUCCAGAGGCCACACUAGCACCCUCCUGAAUGAGUCCAGAGGCCACACUAGCACCCUCCUGAAUGAGUCCAGAGGCCACACUAGCACCCUCCUGAAUGAGUCCAGAGGCCACACUAGCACCCUCCUGAAUGAGCCCAGAGGCCACACUAGCACCCUCCUGAAUGAGUCCAGAGGCCACACUAGCACCCUCCUGAAUGAGUCCAGAGGCCACACUAGCACCCUCCUGAAUGAGUCCAGAGGCCACACUAGCACCCUCCUGAAUGAGCCCAGAGGCCACACUAGCACCCUCCUGAAUGAGUCCAGAGGCCACACUAGCACCCUCCUGAAUGAGUCCAGAGGCCACGCUAACACCCUCCUGAAUGAGUCCAGAGGCCACGCUAACACCCUCCUGAAUGAAUUAUGGAUUUUGUACACUGGACUAUUAUAUUAUUCUAGCCUUUGCAUUGAUUGCUCUAAAUCUGUGUAA